rnacentral:rRNA from 1 species
UCGAGCGGAAGGCCCUUCGGGGUACUCGAGCGGCGAACGGGUGAGUAACACGUGAGUAACCUGCCCCUGACUCUGGGAUAAGCCUGGGAAACCGGGUCUAAUACCGGAUAUGACACUCCUCCGCAUGGUGUGGGUGUGGAAAGUUUUUUCGGUUGGGGAUGGACUCGCGGCCUAUCAGCUUGUUGGUGGGGUGAUGGCCUACCAAGGCGACGACGGGUAGCCGGCCUGAGAGGGCGACCGGCCACACUGGGACUGAGACACGGCCCAGACUCCUACGGGAGGCAGCAGUGGGGAAUAUUGCGCAAUGGGCGAAAGCCUGACGCAGCGACGCCGCGUGGGGGAUGACGGCCUUCGGGUUGUAAACCUCUUUCAGCAGGGACGAAGUUGACGUGUACCUGUAGAAGAAGCGCCGGCUAACUACGUGCCAGCAGCCGCGGUAAUACGUAGGGCGCGAGCGUUGUCCGGAAUUAUUGGGCGUAAAGAGCUCGUAGGUGGCUUGUUGCGUCUGCCGUGAAAGCCCGUGGCUUAACUACGGGUCUGCGGUGGAUACGGGCAGGCUAGAGGCUGGUAGGGGCAAGCGGAAUUCCUGGUGUAGCGGUGAAAUGCGCAGAUAUCAGGAGGAACACCGGUGGCGAAGGCGGCUUGCUGGGCCAGUUCUGACGCUGAGGAGCGAAAGCGUGGGGAGCGAACAGGAUUAGAUACCCUGGUAGUCCACGCUGUAAACGUUGGGCGCUAGGUGUGGGGGUCUUCCACGAUCUCUGUGCCGUAGCUAACGCAUUAAGCGCCCCGCCUGGGGAGUACGGCCGCAAGGCUAAAACUCACACGAAUUGACGGGGGCCCGCACAAGCGGCGGAGCAUGUUGCUUAAUUCGACGCAACGCGAAGAACCUUACCAAGGUUUGACAUACACCGGAAACACUCAGAGAUGGGUGCCUCCUUUGGACUGGUGUACAGGUGGUGCAUGGCUGUCGUCAGCUCGUGUCGUGAGAUGUUGGGUUAAGUCCCGCAACCAGCGCAACCCUUGUUCCAUGUUGCCAGCACGCCCUUUGGGGUGGUGGGGACUCAUGGGAGACUGCCGGGGUCAACUCGGAGGAAGGUGGGGAUGACGUCAAGUCAUCAUGCCCCUUAUGUCUUGGGCUGCAAACAUGCUACAAUGGUCGGUACAGAGGGUUGCGAUACCGUGAGGUGGAGCGAAUCCCUAAAAGCCGGUCUCAGUUCGGAUUGGGGUCUGCAACUCGACCCCAUGAA